GGGACCCUAGUGGCGGACGGGUGAGUAACGCGUGGGUAACCUGCCCCAUACCGGGGGAUAACACUUAGAAAUAGGUGCUAAUACCGCAUAAGCGCACGGUACUGCAUGGUACAGUGUGAAAAACUCCGGUGGUAUGGGAUGGACCCGCGUCUGAUUAGCUUGUUGGCGGGGUAACGGCCCACCAAGGCGACGAUCAGUAGCCGGCCUGAGAGGGUGGACGGCCACAUUGGGACUGAGACACGGCCCAAACUCCUACGGGAGGCAGCAG
rnacentral:rRNA from 1 species